rnacentral:rRNA from 1 species
CUUUAACAUUGAUUCGAAAAGGAAGCGCGUAGCGUUAAUCUUCUAAUUACUUUUAGGUGUGAUAUUUAGAAGUCUCCUUUUGGAAAACCAUUGACCGUAUUGGCCGCGCCCCGUACAGCUACACUGGGCUGGGGCCGGUCAAAAUUUUACUUAAUGAACUGAAAAAUCUUAGUAAUUAAAGGAAAAUAAAUCAACAGAGAUCUCCUUAGUAAUUGUGAAUGAAAAGGAGUAAGCUUAUAUUUUAAUCGCGCCCCGCGCCAUUCGGCGCGGGGCGGAUCACUUAACCGUUUUAAAUGUACGGGUUUAAGUGUCAUUCUUACUUUUUAGUUCGAAAAUUACCCCCCUUAGGGGGGGCACCAAAGAAGGUUAAAGUCCCGUAGACCUAGAAAGUAUUGCCGCGUCGGCGCUUCCAAGGUGCCAAGUACCAGCGGGAGCGAAAGCUCAAUUUAAUUGUGUUAAAUCAUGAAACACGCUAAAUGGUGGUGCCACCCACCAUGCUAAAUAUGUAUCAAUGAUUGAUAGUGAAAAGUACCGUGAGGGAAUGGUGAAAAGUAACGCUGCAGCGUGGUGAAAAAGAUCCUUAAUGACUCUUUAAACAGCAAGAGAUUUUUCUCUGUACCUUUUGUAUAAUGGGUCAGCGAGUUAUUAAAUUUAUCCAAUCUAAAAUGGAUUUACCGUUUGUGAUAAUUUCUAAAGAGUUCGUCCGACCCCCUAGGGGUCGCAAGAUAAAUUUAAUAGACCCGAAACCUUGUGAGCUAAUUAUGGUCAAAAUGAAAGUUGGUUAAUCCUGACUGGAUGUUUGAACGAUUGUUUGUUGCAAAAAACUUCGAUGAACUGUGAUUAGAGGUGAAAUGCCAAUCGAACAAGGAUAUAGCUGGUAAUCCGCGAAAUAUAUUUAAGUAUUAACCAAAGCUUUUGGUACAUUAGGGGUAAAAACUUUUUCUUGAUUUUGAGUUUGCUUGACCUUCGGGCUCUCUUUAUUCGGUUUCUAAAUUUUAAAUACUAAUGUCCUUCCAACGGUUACAGCGUAUGGGAAAAGCUUUGAGGCAGACAUUAAGCGAUAAGGUUUAAAGUCUAAUGGGUAACAGCCCACAUCAUUAAUUAAGGUCCCCAAGUUUCGAUUCAGUUUUUUUAAAAGUUUUUUUUGCAUUGACUAUCAAGAUAUUAACUUAGAAGCAGUGAUUAUUUAAAGAAAGCGUAAUAGCUCAUUGAUUGAUUAGGCAAAUUUUACUUGCUAAUUAUCGGGAAUAAAAUCGAACACCGAAAUUAUGAAAUUAGUUACGGCUUCGCGCAACACCUAACAUGGUCGCGCCCACUAAUAACUAAUUGGUAGCGGAUCAGCAGUCCGAAGGACUGUGCGAUAAUGCUGACAUGAUUAACUUAGCUCUAUAGCGACCUUAACUUUAAGGUUAACCCUUGACCGCCGCGGCCCCCUUAGGGGGGCGGGGACCGGUCGUACAGGGUUUAUUCGGUUUCUAAGCUGAUAUUUUCAGUGAUGAUUUUUUAAGAGUUAUUUUCUUAUAGGUUUUGUCCUUAAUUUGCUAUCAUAAAAACUCUUCUGGAAAAUUUUUUUACCGUUCUUAAAGCGACUCUGCUAUUGCUUGUUUUAAGGUUUUGAAAUAAGAAUUUUUAAGGAACUCGGCAAAUUGUCUUUGUAACUUCGGGAUAAAAAGAGGUGAUAGCAAGUCUGUCACUGUCGCAGAAAAGAGGGUAACGACUGUUUACUAAAAACACAAGGCUUUGCUAAAGUUUUUCAACUGAUGUAUAAAGUCUGACAUCUGCCCAAUGUAAGUAAUGAUCAUUAAUAAUCAGCAAUAUUACGCUGAUCACGAAUGGUCACCUUAUAAAUGGCGGCUGUAACCAUGACGGUCCAAAGGUAGCGAAAUUCCUUGGCGGGUAAGUUCCGUCCUGCAUGAGUGAUGUAACGAUUGCCCUACUGUCUCAAGAAUUUUUUCAGUGAAAUUGAAUUAAUUGUGAAGAUGCAAUUUUGCAACAGCAAGACGGAGAGACCCUAUGAAUCUUUACUCUAGUAAACUAUUUCUCUUUGUCCUUUUUAAAAUGUAGAUAGGUGGUAUAGUUAUCAGGCUAAAGGGCAUUCCCCUUUAGCUGCUAGCCUAUGAAAAACCACUUUUUGUAAAGGAUUUUUUGAUCGUCCCCGUUGGGGACCUAGUGGUUUAUUGGGAGUUUAACUGGGGCGGUUGUCUCCUAAAAAGUAACGGAGAUGUACGAAGCUUAAACUAAUACGUAAGAGUUAUUUAAGUUAACAGUAAGAUAUACACAUCAAACUGACAUUAAAUGUGGGUUCUAAUGAACCGAUUUAAAAGUCAACCGAGCUACGCUCGUUUGAUUCUGUGUGGAAUGUUUAUCGAUCAACGGAUUAAAGAUACUCUAGGGAUAACAGGUUAAUGAUCAUCACGAGUUCUUAUCUAAAUGAUCGUUUGACACCUCGAUGUCGGCUCAUCAUAUCCUUGGGGCGAAGAAGCUCCAAAAGGUUGGACUGUUCGUCCAGUAAUAUGGUACGUGAGCUGGGUUUAGAACGUUGUAAAACAGUUCGGUCCCUAUCUACUGUUGUUAUAGUAUCUAUCUUCUAGGUUAAUUAGUACGAGAGGAUUAUUAACCUUUAAUCCAUUAUUUUAGCAGUUUUAAUCUGCUUAUGUUACAUUAAUUUUUUGAAUUACCACUGAAACCAUCAAUUCGUGGGUUUCUUGAUUUUGAAAGGAAUUAUUUGAAGACUACGAUACUUUAUUCCUCGGAGAUUACGAGGUUGAAAGGUAGAAGGUUUUGAAUAAGUAAUUAUCAUUGCUUUUCUAUUCUUAAAUUUUUGAUCGCCCCGAGCCCCGCUACGCGGGGCUCGGGGCAAGAAAAACUACCGUCGAGCUAACCUUCGGGCGUGAGGCGGGUACAUUAUUCUACUUCGUUUU